rnacentral:rRNA from 1 species
CCGGGGUGCGACGCGCCCGGGGCAAGAGAAUCCCGCCGAGGCAACAGAUUGGUAACGUUCACAUUGGGGUUUGGGAGUUGUAAACUCGGUAACUUCCUUAGGGUGACCUGCGGAGGGAUCAUUA